rfam:Triticum aestivum genome assembly, contig: Triticum_aestivum_CS42_TGACv1_scaffold_640691_T_6BS-0.211008_1BL-0.180192
GUAAUACUCCCUCCUUCCGGAAAUACUUGUCGUCGAAAUGGAUAAAAAGAAAUGUAUCUAGAACUAAAAGAUACAUCUUCUUUUAUCCAUUUUGAUGACAAGUAUUUUCGGAUGAAGGGAGUACUCA